GUCGACGUGGCCGAGCGGUUAAGGCGAUCGACUACGGUACCGGUAGAAAUCGAUUGGUUUUAUCUCGCACAGGUUCGAGUCCUGUCGUCGACG